CGCGCACUUGUGUAAAAAGCGAGGACGUGACCGUUUUGGAAGCAUUGUUCUUUUCACUGUUAGUGAGGAGCGGUCAAGGAUGCGUAUUAAGAAAGAUCUUAUUCACUGAUUUGAAGAGUUCAUGCAUCGAGCCAGUAGGCUGUGCACAUGGGUAAAAACUGGCUGCGGCUAAACAGGCCUCAUCGGAGCACAAAGUUCCAAGUGACUUCAAAGGGUUUUCUGUACUUGGAGCAGCUCUAUGGGACAUGGAAGAUGAGAAAUGAACCGACACCAGAGGUGCAAUGAAAGGUAAAACUCAUAGCAUCACCACAGCUCUUAGAUAUGUAAGAAGUGCCUUUUGCCUCCUGCCAUAAUUCUGAGGCCUCCC
rnacentral:lncRNA from 1 species